rnacentral:rRNA from 1 species
CCUACGGGAGGCAGCAGUGGGGCAUAUUGCACAAUGGGGGAAACCCUGAUGCAGCGACGCCGCGUGAGUGAAGAAGUAUUUCGGUCUGUCAAGCUCUAUCAGCAGGGAAGAAACCCACCCUCCGGGGUGGCUGACGGUACCUGACUAAGAAGCCCCGGCUAACUACGUUCCAGCCGCCGCGGUAAUACGUAGGGGGCAAGCGUUAUCCGGAUUGACUGGGUGUAAAGGGAGCGUAGGUGGCAAGGCAAGUCAGAUGUGAAAACCCGUGGCCCAACCCCGGGAGUGUAGUUGAAACUUUCUGGCUAGAGUGCAGGAGAGGGAAGUGGAAUUCCUAGUGUAGAGGUGAAAUGCAUAGAUAUUAGGAGGAACACCAGGGGCGAAGGCGGCUUACUGGACUGUAACGGACACUGAGGCUCGAAAGCGUGGGGAGCAAACAGGAUUAGAUACCCUUGUAGUC